rnacentral:rRNA from 1 species
UACGGGGGAUGCAAGCGUUAUCCGGAUUUAUUGGGUUUAAAGGGUGCGUAGGCUGUGAGGUAAGUCAGCGGUGAAAUGCCCCCGCUCAACGGGGUGAAGUGCCAUUGAUACUGCCUUGCUGGAAUGCGGAUGCCGUGGGAGGAAUGUGUGGUGUAGCGGUGAAAUGCAUAGAUAUCACACAGAACACCGAUUGCGAAGACAUCUCACGAAUCCGCGAUUGACGCUGAUGCACGAAAGCGUGGGUAUCAAACAGG